UUGCGGUUAAAAAGCUCGUAGUUGGAUUUCUGUCCGAGGCAGCCGGUCCGCACCUGGUGCGUGUAUCAGGUUUGACUAGGGCAUCCUCUUGGGGAACGUUUCUGUGCUUCAUUGCAUGGGACGGAAUUCAAGACUUUUACUUUGAGGAAAUUAGAGUGUUCACGGCAAGCUAUCGCUUUGAAUACAUUAGCAUGGAAUAAUAAUAUAGGGCGUAAGUCUUAUUUUGUUGGUUUCUAGGACAUACGCAAUGAUUAAUAGGGACAAUUGGGGGCAUUCGUAUUAACGCGUCAGAGGUGGAAUUCUUAGAUUGCGUUACGACGAACUACUGCGAAAGCAUUUGCCAAGGAUGUUUUCAUUGAUCAAGAACGAAAGUAUGGGGAUCGAAGACGAUUAGAUACCGUCGUAGUCUAUACCAUAAACUAUGCCAAUUAGAGAUUGGAGGUCGUUCGUUUUAUGACUCCUUCAGCACCUUAUGAGAAAUCAAAAUUUUUGGGUUCCGGGGGGAGUAUGGUCGCAAGGCUGAAACUUAAAGGAAUUGACGGAAGGGCACCACCAGGAGUGGAGCCUGCGGCUUAAUUUGACUCAACACGGGAAAACUUACCAGGUCCAGACAUAGUAAGGAUUGACAGAUUGAUAGCUCUUUC
rnacentral:rRNA from 1 species